AGCCAUACGAGCUACGCUCCCCCAGCUGAACUGUAUCUGCGUUUUAACAGUGGGAGAAAAGACAUUAUAUGGCAUCGCGCUCCUCCCGCAACCCUGCCAGCCUCAUCUGUCAGCCAUUACUUAAUCAUGGCCGAUAACACAGAGCACAGAGAGCUGGCACAGCGCGUGGGACCAGAAGACAGUUUCACCUCUGAGAGCAAGAGGAGGGCAAGGACUCAGGGACCUCUGAUUCAGUGAUCUACAGCUGGGUUGCUUCACUCACCAGCACCCACUCAGGACUGGCAGGCAGAAACCUCGAGAUGAUCCAACCCACUGCUUUAAUCUAAACAGGGAGGUUUCAGAGACAGAAGCCAAAACAACACAUGUUAUCAACAUGGGAACAGCUGUUUUUGACAGACGUUUUGACGCAAGAUCCACAUUGAACUUCCAAAUGGCUAAAACUAAGCACAUUCUGACCUAAACGUCUCUCCAACACUGUACCUCAUUUUAGCCAAGUCCAAGGAUGGUAUCAAUUCUUAGCAAAGGAAAAUUUUUUACAUACAAUAGGAAUCAAGACAGAAAGUAAAUAACAACAAUAAAGGAGAACAGAUAAUAGUCAGGUCUCAGAGUUCCUCCAUCAAUCCAAAUGCAUCAUGCAGGGGUCAUGUGGUGAGGUGGAAUUAACAUCCUUUAUAACUUAAAAAAGAAACAGAACUACCAGGUGGUGAUACAGCACUUACAGUAGAGUCUGAUCAAAAACAUAUUUAGGUUUUUAUUUUAGCUAACAAAACAAAGCGCUAUUCGCUCUCUGUUACUGAAACUGAGCUAGAACACAGUAUCAAUCAUUAUCGCACCCACAAGAGGGGAAACAGCUCCAUUUCACUUCAUCACUUGAUAGCAUCGACAUGCCCAAACAUGAACAGGCCCCAUUAAGUCUGUGGUGGUAGCCUCAUGUGAGAGGACUUUUCAUGUAAGUGGAGUCUAUGAAGUAACUCCUGUGGGUUUAAAAACACUUCACAAUGCUUCGCUUAAAGGAAUGAGAAAAAGCAGAUGUUUUGUACCUGUGUGAAAACACGAUCAUGUCUCUGCCAUUCAGCCAGCCCGGAGAAGACCAAAUUAAACGCUUCCAGAGACCUUCAAUCCCUGUCUCCUCUCUGUUCAUCUCACUGCAUCAGCUCCCAAGCUGGAUCACCCACAACAGCUACGCUCACUAAAUGGACUCUUUAUUUUCUUUCAGUAGCUUUCACACACUCACUGUGCUUCAGCAGGAGCAGGAACGGCAUUAAUAGACUUCUCCUAACUACUCAUUAAACUAAACUAGAUCAUGACGAUACUUGUGCAGCAACCUGCAAAGAUAUCUUCUGACAUCAUCUCACAGCAUCAGUGCCACCUAAAUCUUAGCGGUUUGCCAAAAUGUGUAAGGCCAGUGAUUGAUCCUUUAUGUUAAAGUCUUUUCUCAGAUACCAAUUUAGCACACACAGCAAUGAUUGUUCUAGUGAGAAGCACCAGGAAGCCGCUGCUCCAAUAACCUAAACUCAACUAGCACACGGGCAGCAUAAGGAAUCACAAGGCUGAUGAUGUCACAAACAACUGCCCCCAAAGUGACAGGUUUUGCAAGAUGUUUCCCCCUGUUGCCCUCAAACUGGAGUCAAGUAUGUCAAUGCUCUACAUGUGGAUUUCAUUUGAAGCAGCAUGAUUAGCGUGCAGACGCUUUACUGUGAUCCCCCCUCCAUGGGAAACCCACACUCGACGGGAAAUGGUAUGUUUUUGUUAACAACAAACAGGCAUAAAUCACAUAAGUGGUGCAACACAGCCGUAUCACUGGUCCUUACACCCAGCUGACAUCAAGAUUGCUUUUAAGGUAAUUACCAUUAGCUAAUGAUAUUUAUGUUCCUAAAAGUUUAUGUUGAACUGUGUGCCUGAAAUCCGGAACCUGUACAAUAAAUGUGGUAAUUGUUUUGUGUCUUUUUCUCUUUUUAAAAUACUCUCUGAUGGCGUGUAUUGGGAAAAUGAAUAUGACAGUAACUGAUCAGUCAGACCUUUCUGGUUACUUACAACAGAUUAAUUUAUCAAGAUGUGUUUUUUAAUAUGUAGAAGGUGCCAAAAAGGAAAACAAAAAUAAAAUCAAGGGCACAACAAGCAAGAUUAGUGUCUGAGAUUAAGUCUCAAUCUGAAAAGGUGAGUUUUGAAAAGUCAGUUUAAGGGUGUAAACAUUUUAUAAAUCGAGAGGCAGAGAGCUCAUUUAUGAAUAUUUCCAAGAUGGUAGUAUGUAGUCAGGUUUAUUUCCAGGAUUGUUUUCUGGUUUAAAUAUAUUGAGAGGGCUUGAUUAAAAUGGAUGGCAUUUAAGGGUGUCUCCGCAAGAUUACAAGGAUUUUAAUAAUAGUCUCUUAUGAAAUGUUUUGACAGAAAAAAAGUGAGAUACGCUUGAAUAUAUUUGAUUUAUGACGUAACAUAUAACAACUAACAUAUACACUACUGCUCCAAACUGAUAUGUAUAAAACUGAUGGUUUAAAAUUAUAAAAAAAAGAUUUGGUAUAUACUACAAAGGUAAGAUGCUUUUACAUAAGGUAAGAUAAAUCCAAAGCCAUGAGCAAUAUUGGAAAUGUUAAUUAAAACAACUGCCUGCCCCCCACCUCCCCACCACACUGCUUGAUCUCUAUCUGGCCUCUAAGCAUCUCCUAUUUCACCUGAACAAAAAAGGUUUGUUUGUAUGAACAAUAAGUACGUUUUGAGUCUCUCAAAUCAUUGUGAAUUCAUAAAUUAUAUAACAGUUUAUGCAUUACAGAAGAUGAAUAGAUAAUUGUAAUUUUGAAUAGAAAAAGACUCAAUGAUUAUUGUGUUGUGUACAUUGAUGCUUUGUAGGUCAAUAGUUAAAAUAAUCAUUUACUUUUAAAGAAAGAAGUAAAGGAGUAAUUCUGGCAUAUUGUGGGUUAUUUGAAGCCUUUGUUGAAAUACUAAUUUAAAUAUAGAGUUUGACAAUACUUCAAAGAUUAUAAUUGCCUGCAUUUUGCAAAUAGUGUUUGGGUGUUUUUUCAGAAUUUCUACUCCUUUCUCCAAAAACUAAACAAGACUUGCCAGAAAAAAUUAAUACCAAUUAUUGUUGCGGUUUAAAAAAAAGAAAAAAGAUAACAUUACACUGUCUCCAGCCAAAUGCAUUACAGAGAGCACUAUUAAUACAAUGGUAAACAGAUGUGCCACCCAGCGCUAAGGUUUAAUUUGGACUCUGCAUGUUUUUCUCCAAAGAGAUUAGAGAAGAAAAUGUUAAAACACAUAAAAGGGAAAGGGCCUGGAGUGUUAUUACACUGUAAUGUGCCAAGGUAUGUGAAACACUAUAGAUACUAUAGAAGCAAAGUUUAAGUUUUCCCCCCAAAGAUUAAAUUAUUUAAAGGAUUACUGAAAAACAAAACAGUAAAGUCAAAUUGAGGGUCAAAUACCAAAAUACCCCUAAUGGCCCACAGAUCACAUCUUUUCUAUGGGGUGCUGUACGUUAACUUUGUACAUAAACUGUAUGUGUAUUGCAUGUACACAGUAUGUAGAGCAUAUAAAUGUACUGUAUAUAAAAAGUCAGUGCACAUGAAAACAAACUCUUUUUAAAGUCAGUUGCUAUUUACCUUACCCCUUGCAAAGCAACGUGUUUUUUUCUGUAUUGCUGUUCCUUGUGCAACAUUUUUGGCUUUAUGACAUUCACUAAAGUCCAGUGUUGUUUUUUGUUGUUGUUUGUUUGUCAAUAAAAUA